rnacentral:rRNA from 1 species
UACGUAGGGGGCUAGCGUUGUCCGGAAUCAUUGGGCGUAAAGAGCGUGUAGGCGGCCCGGUAAGUCCGCUGUAAAAGUCAAAGGCUCAACCUUUGAAUGUCAGUGGAUACUGCCGGGCUAGAGUCCGGAAGAGGCGAGUGGAACUCCUGGUGUGAGCGGUGGAAUGCGCAGAUAUCAAGAGGAACACCUGCGGCGAAGGCGGGUUGCUGGGCUGACACUGACGCUGAGGCGCGAAAGCUAGGGGAGCGAACGGG